rnacentral:rRNA from 1 species
UACGUAGGGGGCAAGCGUUAUCCGGAUUUACUGGGUGUAAAGGGAGCGCAGACGGUUAAGUAAGUCAGAAGUGAAAGCCCCGGGCUUAACUCGGGGACUGCUUUUGAAACUAUUUAACUAGAGUACUGGAGGGGCAAGCGGAAUUCCUGGUGUAGCGGUGAAAUGCGUAGAUAUCAGGAGGAACACCGGUGGCGAAGGCGGCUUGCUGGACAGUAACUGACGUUGAGGCUCGAAAGCGUGGGGAG